GCCUGGCGGCCUGCGUCGUUGGGCUGCACCGCUCUCGGUUCCCCGCGUGCCAGCGAGCUCCUCCUCGCGGAGAGGGGCGCCGCAGGUGACUCCAGAGCGCGCAGGAUGAGCAGUGGUCCCCCGGCGGCUGGCAGAUGGACGGAAGCGGCCCCUCCGAGCUGCCCCCUGGGGCGGCUGAUCCAGAGCGCGGUGCCGGCCAAGUUAGCAGCGUGCCUGCCUCCCCCUCCGGAGAGGUUCACCAGGAGGUCAAGGGGGUCGUCCUUUCAUCGGUCUUAGACUUGAGUCAACGUGGCCUUCACCAUUUAGAAGAGAUCUUUAAAAUCCCCAACAUUAAACAACUGCACCUUCAAAGAAACGCCCUCUGCGAGAUUCCCGCAGACUUCUUCCAGUCGCUGCCAAACCUCGCGUGGCUGGACUUCCGCUACAACAGCAUCAGAGCUCUUCCUUCUGGGAUCGGGUCUCACAAGCAUUUGAAAACUUUGCUUUUAGAAAGAAAUCCUAUCAAAAUGUUACCUGUGGAGCUGGGGAACGUGACCACACUGAGAGCCUUGAACCUGAGACACUGCCCCCUGGAGUUCCCCGCCCCCCUCAUCGUGCAGAAGGGACUGGGUGCCAUCCUGGCCUUCCUGCAGGCCUGCACCAUGCAGCGGCCUCCUCCCCGAGGGUCAGCUUCUCCAGAGCGUGUGGCCGACAAGGACGCUGUGAAUUCUCAAGAUCGAAGGGGGAGGUUAAAAGAAAAAGCAGACUUUCUCCCUCCUGUUGAAAAGCUACACCUGAGUGAGCUGGGCAAGUCCACUGCCUCCCCAGAAGACUGGCCGGGCGAGGAGGAAAUCAGGCGCUUUUGGAGGCUGAGGCAGGAGAUUGUCGAGAAGGAGCAGGAGGAAGUGCUUGCAAAGCAGCUCUUACCGGCAGAGUUACCUGCAAACCUCAAGGCGGCUCUGAACACGAAGGAGAAAGAACAUUCCGGCUCCAGACGUGUUCUCAGCGCGUGCCGUCCGCGGGGGAGUGUUCACCGCGGGGUCUGUGACGGUAGAAGGAAGAUGUCCUCCCUCAGGAGCGUCCUGCCGGCCCUGGUGCCACGGCAGCGAGCGGGGCUUCCCGCCAGGAGAGCGGAGGACAGCGGGGCCUUGGCCCCCAGGGAGCAGCACGUACGAGACGAAGGAGCACCGCGGGAGUGGCGGGAGCGAGCCCGGACCCGGAGGACAGCGGAGGAGGCCCUGGGCAAGCCCCUGCCUCCCCAGAGGAGUCUGGGACGAGGACGCCAGCGGGAGGGGUCUCAUCCGGUCCGGGGGCCACGGUGCCCGCUGCAGAGAUGGAGCCUGCGGCCCGCUGACAGACCUAUUUCCUCUCAUGUGGUGUCAAAGAUUCCCUGUGCCGUGGAUUUGGCAGACAAUGAGAAAAUGCCAGUGAAUCCACCCGGAAACAUGAGGCAAAGGAAAGAGAAGUCAUUGCAAGCAAGUGAAGAAAUGAGGGCCUUCCGAGAGGAGCUCUGGGAAGAAAACCUAAAGCAGCACAUUCAGAAAACGCACGAGGGAAGAAAAAGAUUUCAAGGCACGGUGCCACUCAAGGAAAUGAGCCCGGCUGCCCGGGACUUGGACAUUAAAAUAGAAGUGGAGGGGAAACAUCGUAAUUCAUCCUAUGAGGCCAGCAUCACCCUGAUACCAGAACAAAGACGUCACGUAUGAGGAAAACUACAGACCGGUGUCUCUCCUGAACACAGAUGCGAAAAUCCUCAACAAAAUAUUAGCAAAUCAAACCUAACAAUGUAUAAAAGGAAUUAUACACCAUGACCAAGUGGGGUUUGUCCCAGGUGUACAAGGCUGGGUCCACAUUCAAAACCCAUUUUAUGUAAACGUAUCGUCACCUUGUGGCCGAAGAAGGAAAAUCACACGAUCGUAUCAUUUGGUGUGGGAAAAGCAUUUAACAGAAUCCAGCACCUGUUUGUGAUAACUGCUUGUAGCAAACUAGGCACAAGUGGAACUUCCUUGACUUGAUAAAGAGCAUCUACAGAAACUACAGCGAACAUCGUACUUCAUGGCCAGGAAGCUACAGGAUCAAGUGAUGGAGCCGGGACCGGGGCCGACCUUAACUAGAAGCCACCA